UACAGAGGUCUCAAGCGUUGUUCGGAUUCAUUGGGCGUAAAGGGUGCGUAGGUGGUGCUGUAAGUCAGGUGUGAAAUCCCGGGGCUCAACCCCGGAACUGCACUUGAUACUGCAGUGCUCGAGGACUGGAGAGGAGAUCGGAAUUCAUGGUGUAGCAGUGAAAUGCGUAGAUAUCAUGAGGAAGACCAGUGGCGAAGGCGGAUCUCUGGACAGUUCCUGACGCUGAGGCACGAAGGCCAGGGGAGCAAACGGG
rnacentral:rRNA from 1 species